rnacentral:rRNA from 1 species
UACGGAGGGUGCAAGCGUUAUCCGGAUUCACUGGGCUUAAAGGGAGCGCAGGCGGAUUGGCAAGUCAGUGGUGAAAGGCUUGAGCUUAACUCGGGAACUGCCAUUGAUACUAUCAGUCUUGAAUAUUGUUGAGGUUUGCGGAAUGGGUCAUGUAGCGGUGAAAUGCAUAGAUAUGACCCGGAACACCUAUUGCGAAGGCAGCAGGCUAGACAAAGAUUGACGCUGAGGCUCGAAAGCGUGGGGAUCAAACAGG